CUCUUGACCUCGGAUCAGGUAGGGAUACCCGCUGAACUUAAGCAUA
rnacentral:rRNA from 1 species